rnacentral:rRNA from 1 species
AUUGAACGCUGGCGGCAGGCCUAACACAUGCAAGUCGAACGAGUGGCGGACGGGUGAGUAAUGUAUGGGAAACUGCCUGAUGGAGGGGGAUAACUAAUGGAAACUGUAGCUAAUACCGCAUACCCUAAGAUGGGCCCAGAUGGGAUUAGGUAGUUGGUGGGGUAAAGGCUCACCAAGGCGACGAUCCCUAGCUGGGCUGAGAGGAUGACCAGCCACACUUGAACUGAGACACGGUCCAGACUCCUACGGGAGGCAGCAGUGGGGAAUAUUGCACAAUGGGCGCAAGUCUGACGCAGCCAUGCCGCGUGAAUGAAGAAGGCCUUCGGGUUGUAAAUUUCUUUCGGCAGGGAGGCGUUACCUGCAGAAGAAGCACCGGCUAACUCCGUGCCAGCAGCCGCGGUAAUAC